GUGUGAAAUGAUGGUUUACCAUCUUUCGGGACUGACAAGUCAUGGAGAUAUCUUUUUAACUAUUUUGCUGAUCAUGC
ensembl:snoRNA